rnacentral:rRNA from 1 species
UACGUAGGUGGCGAGCGUUGUCCGGAUUUACUGGGCGUAAAGAGCGCGCAGGCGGUCGUCCAAGUCGCGUGUGAAAGCCCCCGGCUCAACUGGGGAGGGUCACGCGAUACUGAUCGACUCGAAGGCAGGAGAGGGAAGCGGAAUUCCCGGUGUAGUGGUGAAAUGCGUAGAUAUCGGGAGGAACACCAGUGGCGAAGGCGGCGACCUGGACGGACACUGACGCUGAGACGCGAAAGCGUGGGGAGCAAACAGG